rnacentral:rRNA from 1 species
UUUGUGGAGAGUUUGAUCCUGGCUCAGGACGAACGCUGGCGGCGUGCUUAACACAUGCAAGUCGAACGGAAAGGCCUGCAGCUUGCUGCGGGUACUCGAGUGGCGAACGGGUGAGUAACACGUGGGUGAUCUGCCUUGCACUUCGGGAUAAGCUUGGGAAACUGGGUCUAAUACCGGAUAGGACAGCUGUUUAGUGUCAGUUGUGGAAAGUUUUUUCGGUGCAAGAUGAGCUCGCGGCCUAUCAGCUUGUUGGUGGGGUAAUGGCCUACCAAGGCGUCGACGGGUAGCCGGCCUGAGAGGGUGUACGGCCACAUUGGGACUGAGAUACGGCCCAGACUCCUACGGGAGGCAGCAGUGGGGAAUAUUGCACAAUGGGCGGAAGCCUGAUGCAGCGACGCCGCGUGGGGGAUGAAGGCCUUCGGGUUGUAAACUCCUUUCGACAGGGACGAAGCGUAAGUGACGGUACCUGUAUAAGAAGCACCGGCUAACUACGUGCCAGCAGCCGCGGUAAUACGUAGGGUGCGAGCGUUGUCCGGAAUUACUGGGCGUAAAGAGCUCGUAGGUGGUUUGUCGCGUCGUCUGUGAAAUUCCGGGGCUUAACUCCGGGCGUGCAGGCGAUACGGGCUGACUUGAGUGCUGUAGGGGAGACUGGAAUUCCUGGUGUAGCGGUGAAAUGCGCAGAUAUCAGGAGGAACACCGAUGGCGAAGGCAGGUCUCUGGGCAGUAACUGACGCUGAGGAGCGAAAGCAUGGGUAGCGAACAGGAUUAGAUACCCUGGUAGUCCAUGCCGUAAACGGUGGGCGCUAGGUGUAGGGGGCUUCCACGUCUUCUGUGCCGUAGCUAACGCAUUAAGCGCCCCGCCUGGGGAGUACGGCCGCAAGGCUAAAACUCAAAGGAAUUGACGGGGGCCCGCACAAGCGGCGGAGCAUGUGGAUUAAUUCGAUGCAACGCGAAGAACCUUACCUG